rnacentral:lncRNA from 1 species
GUGACCUCAGGAUAGUGACAAGCCUACACCGUGUGGUGCUGGCAAAGAAAAUUCCUGGAGAUGAAAACUGACGUGGGGUCCAGGGGUUAAUUUCUGGAACAGACAAAUUUGCAUACAAAUGAAAAAUGAUGGGAUUUCCGUUCUCCUAAAUUUUCAAUGUCAUCAGCAUCAAACAGCAGCCUUGCUCCCUUGCCGUUUGAAGAAUAUUCAUUACUUGAGAAGAAGGGGCACCUUGUUUGGUGUUCAACUCAAUGCAGGUCAAUGACUUAAUUUGUGAAACUUCAUCUGGAGGGAAUAUCCUUACUCUUGAAAGCCAGGGAUGUUUGUGGCACUGGAGACCAUAAGACGGCGAUGAUAAAGUAUUAUUCUGCCAGAGAGAAUGGUAAAGAAGAACCAGCAAGGAUGGCUGGAAUGAAAAAUGAAGUGGAGUUACUGGGACAGAUAGGAGGCAGUUUAUAGACAAAGACGUGAGAGAAGGAAAGCAGGGAACAGAAGAGAAGUUUCAAAAUAUGAAAUCAGCAAUCCACUAAACAUCCAAAAAGACGAAGACCCUGGACUCAACAACUUUCCCUGAAUGUAAGUGAAAAGAUGCAUGUACUACCAGAAGCUGUGGCUGCCUGAAUUUUGAAACACUUUCAUCAGAACAACUCCAGUUCUGGCUCUGAAAAGACAAUGGGGUCAACUGUUGGAAGAGGGUAGUACUGCUCAUUUCUCCAGAAAAAAAUCUGAUCACACAUUAAAACAUUAUUGUCAAAAUAAGAGCCCGAAAAAGUCGUUCCACUAAAAUGGAAACACUACAAGAAAAAGUGGCCUUGACUCAAUUGAAGAAGGGUUUGUUGGAGUCCACCUCACCGUCACUCUAAGGAAUCUAUUGCUUCAGCCAUUUGAAAAAUGACUGUUAUAUUCACUACCAAUUUUUUUGUUGUUGUCUUUUUUUAGGGCUACACCCACGACAUACAGAAGUUCCCAGGCUAGGGGUUGAAUAGAAACUGCAGCUCCCUGCCUAUACCACAGCCACAGCAAGGCCAGAUCUGAGCUGAGUCUUCAACCCUCACCAGAGCUCAUGGCAAUGCUAGAUCCUUAACCCACUGAGCAAGGCCAGGACUGAACCUGUGUCCUCAUGGAUACUAGUUGGGUUAGUUACCCCUGAGUCACAAUGGGAAUUCCACUAUUGAUUUUCUUAUUAACAGUUCAUCCAUUUGUAUUAAGCUCUGUGUAUUUCCAAAGUGGUUUUGCCUACGUACCUCUUAAACUGAGGCAUUUAGAUUAGAUUUUUAAUCUUCAUAUUAUAAAUUUAAAAGGGAAAAAUCUUUAGAACAUUAUUAAAAUCUCAAAGAUAUGAAAACAGCUAGAAGAAAUUCAGUCAAAUUCCCAAGAUGCUAUGUUCUUGGUUUCCCAAAGACUGAACUUUCAUUUCUUUUGUGGAUUGAGAAUGUGUCAUAAUGACAGAUAUGCCUGGCACACGGUGUUACUCAAUAAAUAUAUGUUAAACUAAACCUAAUAUUCCCAUUAUAAUGAAGUCAAAUAGAAAUAGAUUUUAAUUUUAAAUCUCUCAUGUAAUUACUCUUUUUUAGCUUUUUUUUUUUUUUUUUUUUUUUUUUUUCUUUUUUUUUUUGCCUUUCCUAGGACCGCUCCCACAGCAUAUGGAGGUUCCCAGGCUAGGGGUCUAAUCGGAGCUGGAGCCACCGGCCUACACCAGAGCCACAGCAACACAGGAUCCGAGCCACGUCUGCAACCUACACCACAGCUCUCAGCAACACCAGAUCCUUAACCCACUGAGCAAGGCCAGGGUCGAACCUAUAUCCUCAUGGAUGCUAGUCAGAUUCCUUUCCUCUGAGCCAUGAGGGGAGCUCCAGGAAUAACAAUUCUUAUCUUGUACUGCAUCAGUGGUAUGCUAGUAAAUGUUUAACUUGACCAUUCUCUCCCCUCCCCCCACUCCCCACCCCCCAUAAAAAGGGCCUGGUGUGUAGAUUUUGCCAGUUUCCAUGGUGUAAGUACUCCCACCAUUGACAAUUUCAAGCUUCCAACAUGACAUCACUGAAUACUAGGCUGGUAAGGGCUGUGAAUAAUCGACUCCUAUGAGCUAAUAGAAGCUGAUUCCAGCACACCACUGAAUGACUUUAAAUUUAUGGUUUGAUUUCAAGGAAUUGCUCUUCUGUGUUACUAUAAUUUGUGACACUAAGGCUAUCUUAAGAUGUAGUAGUAUAGUGGAGAUAUUGAUGCCAGGCUGUUGGACCCCUUGUAUGCUGUGAUGCUUCCAUUUCCUGACUGCUGUGGGUGUGGGCGGAUAACCAUUCGUAGCUGUCCCUUCUCUGCCAAAUUGCCCUUGACUGGGAGGUGCCUUACCCAGGAAGUCUACAUACCCACCUUCAACACUGCCUCUCUUAUGAUGGACUAUAGACAGUGACUGUCUGACAGGGGUAAAACACUGGUGUCCUUUUGCCUCAAACUGUGACCAACUCGGUGGUACCAUUUGUGCUCCAGAACUUCUUGUGGGAACAAAACAAGCCAAGACCACAUCCAUUCUUUGUUCCUUCCCCUGCCUUCUCCAGUCUCCCUCAGUCCCAUGGGUCUGGGAAUUUAGAGGUGGAUGUAGGAACAGUCCUCCUUUUUAUUAUAUAGAAUAACCCGCUUGGUGAAUCUCUGCUUCCUGUCUCUGAAACUUUGGGCUCUGUAGUGCUUGAGGUCCUAGUUCUCAGACGAGGAUGCUUCCAUCAGGGAUCACAGUAAAACCCAAUAAAACUCAGUCACCACUGUCAUUUCACUUUGGGCUCUCCUUAUAACUGAUCAUAAUUAUCAUAAAAAUGUAGGGCUGCUGGUACACAGUAAUAAAGAGGUGUGCCUCUCCUUCCCAUUGUCAUGUGUACUUGUGAAGAGCAAGUACAACAACCACAGCUUGAGAAGGACAUGGAACUAGAGCCCAGAGAUGAGGGCCUGGAUCAAACUACCAGGCAAGCCCCUAGGACCAAUCAGAGUGCUCACUAAAGGAGGCAAGAGUCUAAGGUCGAUGAAAAGGUGGGAGAGGCCAAAUAUUAGUGACUGCCUCAGGGUCAAGUGCUGUAGCCAGGGCAGUAGUUUGUCCCACUAACCAACCUUUUUUAAGUUUUCCUGGAAAUUCUGACCAGAAUCCUGAAGAAGCUGUGCCUAGAUGAAAAUGCUUUUAUCCUAGGCCAUUCCAUUGCCUAAGGCAAAAGAUUUUAUGUUUUCCUCUGCACUGUGGUCUCUGUUUUUUGAUAGACCGCUAACAAUUAUUCAGUCCAAAUUUGGAGUAUGUGAGUGCAUGCAUGAGUGCUUGCACGUGUGUGUCUGUAUGUUUUGAACAUGGUGAUAUUUGCAACCUUGAAAACCAUUCAGUAAUAACCAAGGUUGCUAGAGUAGGUCAUGAAUCAUGCCAGCUGGCUCUCCUGCAGAUUCAUACCAUCCAACCUCAGCUGGGCUCUCAUAUGCUGUGCUGCUCUGUAAUCUCUUUGCCUCUGUUUUUUUCCCUAUUGUAUUUCUCACAGCUGCUCUUCCAUACCCUCUCCCUUCACCCUGAAUCCAGAAAAAUAUUCCUGUACAUUUCAUACCAGCAGAUGACUCAGAACAUGCUCUAGUGAUUGAAGGUACCCAGUCGCAACUCUAAUGUCUUCAUCCUCAUUUGGCUUUGGGGAUGAUGUUCUCUUGUGGGUCUGUCUUUCCAUUGCUCACUCCUACUCUUUUCAACAAUAAACCGGGAACAAAACACAUCAACAUCCUCUUAUCUAUUCUGUCAAUUAGGUGUUCACAAGUUUUCUCUUGCAAAUCUGCACUUGAUUAGCAUUGCCUAGCUCAGAACUUCAUUUUCCCCCUUCUAGGCAGCAGUAGCCAUCAAUAUCUCUCUUUUGUAUGUCCAUCAAAAUAAUCUUUCCAAAACCUAGACUUGAGUCAUUUGUCCUACACAGACUUUCUUUUUGUUUUUACUUUUUAUUGCAAAUAAAUUAUUUUGUAUUUUACUGUGAAUAUAAUAUUUUAUAUUGUGAAAGAUAGCCAGCCAUACCAGAAGAAUGUAUAUAAUAUAUAAGUAGAAUUUACAAAAAGAAGAAAAUUAUCACUGCUUAUAAUUCAGCCUAAAAAAUAAGAUAUUAUCUUUGUAUUUAUAAGCCUAUGUUUUAUAAGUUUCUACUCAGUUGAGGCCCCUUCCUCUCCUAAACAUAACUGCUAUCCUGAAUUAUGUUAAUUAUUUCCUUGUUUUCCUUAAAGUUUAUCAUAUAUGUCUAUGUACUAAGCUGUAUAGGGAUUAUACAUGGAUAUAUUUAUAAAAAUAUGAAUCAGCAUUAUUUUGUUUUGCCUUUUUUGUACUUUAUGUAAAAGGAAUCAUAAUGUGUUGCUCUGUGACGUGAUGUUAUGUUUUAAAGAUCCAUUUAUGUUGAUGAUUUAUCAGUAAUUUGUGUUUCACUGUUGCAUAGGACUGUAUUCCUAUGCAACAGCAAAUAUUCAAUUAUAACAUACACCUGAAACUCAUGCAAUGUUAUUUAUCAAUUUUAUCUCAACAAAAAUAAUGCAUUUCAAUUUUUUAAUUCUACUAUUAUUAGAUACUUGGAUUGAUUUUUUGCUACCAAAAAAUGGGUUGCUGUGGACCAGAAGUUUGGGGUUAGUAGAUGCAAACUGUUGCAUUUGGAGUGGAUAAGCAAUGAGAUCCUGCUGUAUAGCACAGGGAACUGUAUCUAGUCACUUGUGAUGGUACAUGAUGGAGGAUAAUGAGAGAAAAAAAUUAUUUUUCUUUGCUGUACAGCAGAAAUUGACAGAACAUUGUAAAUCAACUGUAAUAGAAAAAAUAAAAAUCUUGAAAAAAAA